rnacentral:rRNA from 1 species
UUAAAUAGCCGCUUUUGUGCUAAGGUAGCAUAAUAAUUUGUCUUUUAAUUAAAGACUAGAACAAAAGACUUCACAUCUCAAUUAAUGUUUUUAGAAUAAUUAUUAAAAUUAUUCCAAUUGUAAAAAAACAAUUAUACAAAAGAAAGACGAUAAGACCCUAUCGAACUUUACUUUAGUUUAACUGGGGCAGUUAAUUAAUUAUAAUUUUAANUAAAANCUAUAAAUAAAAUUUGAUCUAUUAUAACUAAUCAAAUAAACAAGUUACCGUAGGGAUAACAGCGUAAUAAAAUUUUUAAGUCCUUAUUUAAAANUAAUGAUUGCGACCUCGAUGUUGAUUUAAUAACCUACUUUACGCAAUAGUAAAUCUAAGGAAGUCUGUUCGACUUUUAAAAAAUUACAUGAUUUGAGUUCAGACCGGUGUAAACCAGGUCGGUUUCUAUCUUCUAUUAANAUNUUCUUCUAGUACGAAAGGACCUAAGANAAAUAAUAACAUUACUAUAUUGGCAGAANU